UGGGGUGUGGCCAAGUGGUAAGGCAGCGGUUUUUGGUAUCGCCAUUCGCAGGUUCGAAUCCUGCCACCCCAGCCA
rnacentral:tRNA from 2 species